AGAACGAACGCUGGCGGCAGGCUUAACACAUGCAAGUCGAACGCGUGUAGCAAUACACGAGUGGCGCACGGGUGAGUAACGCGUGGAUAUCUGCCUUUUGGUUCGGAAUAACCCCGGGAAACUGGGGCUAAUACCGGAUGGUUCCUACGGGAUAAAGAUUUAUCGCCAAAAGAUGAGUCCGCGUACGAUUAGCUAGUUGGUGAGGUAAUGGCUCACCAAGGCGACGAUCGUUAGCUGGUCUGAGAGGACGAUCAGCCACACUGGGACUGAGACACGGCCCAGACUCCUACGGGAGGCAGCAGUGGGGAAUAUUGGACAAUGGGGGCAACCCUGAUCCAGCCAUGCCGCGUGAGUGAUGAAGGCCUUCGGGUUGUAAAGCUCUUUUGGCAGGGACGAUGAUGACGGUACCCGCAGAAUAAGCCCGGCUAACUUCGCGCCAGCAGCCGC
rnacentral:rRNA from 1 species